rnacentral:rRNA from 1 species
GGAAGUUCGUCAAACUUGGUCAUUUAGAGGAAGUAAAAGUCGUAACAAGGUUUCCGUAGGUGAACCUGCGGAAGGAUCAUUACAGAAAGUAAACGCGGAUCAAACCGCGAACUUCUAAACCUUUGACGAUUGACUCAUGUUGCCUCGGCGGGUUCUCCCGCCAGAGGAUACAUCAAAACUCCUGUUUUAACGGUGUUGUCUGAGCUACAAGCAACGAAUCAAAACUUUCAACAACGGAUCUCUUGGUUCUGGCAUCGAUGAAGAACGCAGCGAAAUGCGAUAAGUAGUGUGAAUUGCAGAAUUCAGUGAAUCAUCGAAUCUUUGAACGCACAUUGCGCCCCUUGGUAUCCCGAGGGGCAUGCCUGUUCGAGCGUCAUUUCACCACUCAAGCCUGGCUUGGUGUUGGGCGACGUCCCCUUUAGGGACGCGCCUCGAAACGCUCGGCGGCGUGGCACCGGCUUUAGUCGUAGCAGAAUCUUUCGCUUUGAAAGUCGGGGCCCCGUCUGCCGGAAGACCUACUCGCAAGGUUGACCUCGGAUCAGGCAGGGAUACCCGCUGAACUUAAGCAUAUCAAUAAGCGGAGGAAAAGAAACCAACAGGGAUUGCCUCAGUAACGGCGAGUGAAGCGGCAACAGCUCAAAUUUGAAAUCUGGCUCUUUUAGGGUCCGAGUUGUAAUUUGUAGAGGAUGCUUCGGCGUCGGCUCCGGUCUAAGUUCCUUGGAACAGGACGUCAUAGAGGGUGAGAAUCCCGUAUGUGAUCGGUUGCCCUUGCCAUGUGAAGCUCCUUCGACGAGUCGAG